rnacentral:misc_RNA from 1 species
UCUGCCUUAUCGGCAAGCGGUUCCAUUAGAGUGCCCAACUUAAUGCUGGCAACUAACGGCAAGGGUUGCGCUCGUUGCGGGACUUAACCCAACAUCUCACGACACGAGCUGACGACAGCCAUGCAGCACCUGUCACCGCGUCCCCGAAGGGAACCCCUGCUUUCACAGGGUAGCACGGGAUGUCAAGACCAGGUAAGGUUCUUCGCGUUGCAUCGAAUUAAACCACAUACUCCACCGCUUGUGCGGGCCCCCGUCAAUUUCUUUGAGUUUUAAUCUUGCGACCGUACUCCCCAGGCGGGGUACUUAAUGCGUUAGCGGCGGCACCGAAAGGGUAAGAACUUCCGACACCUAGUACCCAACGUUUACGGCGUGGACUAC